UAUCUGGUGAGGUCUGACCUGGUUCUUGUC
rnacentral:piRNA from 2 species